AGAGUUUGAUCCUGGCUCAGAACGAACGCUGGCGGCGUGGAUAAGACAUGCAAGUCGAACGGGACUUCUUCGUGUAGCAAUACAUGGAGAAGUUUAGUGGCGAACGGGUGCGUAACACGUGGGCAAUCUGCCGAGAAGUGGGGGAUAGCUCGCCGAAAGGCGAAUUAAUACCGCAUAUGAUCAGGGACGACAUCUUCCCAACAUUAAAGCCGGGGCAACCUGGCGCUUCUUGAUGAGCCCGCGGCCUAUCAGCUAGUUGGUGAGGUAACGGCUCACCAAGGCGAUGACGGGUAGCUGGUCUGAGAGGACGACCAGCCACACUGGAACUGAGACACGGUCCAGACACCUACGGGUGGCAGCAGUCGAGAAUUUUUCUCAAUGGGGGAAACCCUGAAGGAGCGACGCCGCGUGGAGGAUGAAGGCUUUCGGGUUGUAAACUCCUGUCAUUUGAGAACAAGGGUAGCUAAGUAACUACUAACUACUGGAUA
rnacentral:rRNA from 1 species